GAUGAACGCUGGCGGCGUGCCUAAUACAUGCGAGUCGAGCGAACGGACGAGAAGCUUGCUUUUCUGAUGUUAGCGGCGGACGGGUGAGUAACACGUGGAUAACCUACCUAUAAGACUGGGAUAACUUCGGGAAACCGGAGCUAAUAUCGGAUAAUAUUUUGAACCGCAUGGUUCAAAAGUGAAAGACGGUCUUGCUGUCACUUAUAGAUGGAUCCGCGCUGCAUUAGCUAGUUGGUAAGGUAACGGCUUACCAAGGCAACGAUGCAUAGCCGACCUGAGAGGGUGAUCGGCCACACUGGAACUGAGACACGGUCCAGACUCCUACGGGAGGCAGCAGUAGGGAAUCUUCCGCAAUGGGCGAAAGCCUGACGGAGCAACGCCGCGUGAGUGAUGAAGGUCUUCGGAUCGUAAAACUCUGUUAUUAGGGAAGAACAUAUGUGUAAGUAACUGUGCACAUCUUGACGGUACCUAAUCAGAAAGCCACGGCUAACUACGUG
rnacentral:rRNA from 1 species